UCCUAGCCCUGAUGGAAGCGGCAUCCUUUUUCUGGUCUCGUUUUUUAACGAGACCAGAAAAAGAUAAAGCGUACAGCAGGAAAUAGC
rnacentral:sRNA from 1 species